rnacentral:ncRNA from 1 species
UAUAGCAUGAGCCGGUGCUUGAUCACUGUCCUUUCUUUGAAGGCAGUGAUCUCGCUGAGAACAUACGGCUUGAACUUGAACUGGAUAAUGCCAGCGUCGAAGAAUCAUGCUACCCCUACUG